GAUCAAGCGUCUGAAGGGCAUCUGGUGGAUGCCUUGGCACUGAGAGGCGAUGAAGGACGUAGCACGUUGCGAUAAGUCACGGGGAGCCGCGAGCAGGCAUUGAUCCGUGAAUUUCCGAAUGGGGAAACCCACCGCGCAAGCGGUAUCCCAUGCUGAAUCCAUAGGCAUGGGAAGCGAACCCGGCGAACUGAAACAUCUAAGUAGCCGGAGGAAAGGACAUCAACCGAGACUCCGCUAGUAGUGGCGAGCGAACGCGGACCAGGCCAGUCAUUCGAUCUACAUAACCGGAACCGUCUGGAAAGUCGGACCACAGUGGGUGAUAGUCCCGUAUGGAUAAACCGGAUCGAAUGCUCGAGUAGGGCGGGGCACGUGAAACCCUGUCUGAACAUGGGGGGACCACCCUCCAAGCCUAAGUACUCCUCAGUGACCGAUAGUGCACCAGUACCGUGAGGGAAAGGUGAAAACGCACCCCGACAAGGGGAGUGAAACAGUUCCUGAAACCGGAUGCCUACAAGCAGUCGGAGCCUC
rnacentral:ncRNA from 1 species